UUUAGUUACGCGUUUAAUCACAUUAAGGCGUGUUGUCUUAUUGGGCGUUGGACCCUCUACUUCAUUUUCAUGCAUAUCAAAUAAAGCAAGAAGGAAGUACUUCAAAGUAAAGAAGAGCUUAUGCUCUUUUACAACAAUUGAUCAAAACAAAUUACUUUAAAGUAAAGAAGAGCUUAUGCUCUUUUACAACAUUUGAUCAAAUCAAAUUACAACCAAAAUCUAAUCUACACAUUCCCAUGGUUCAAACAAAUUUGAGACGGCCUUUCACAUAGCUUAAUUAUAAUAGGCUUAGGUUCAUAAUCACCCUUUCUUCAAUUAAUUAACUCUUUAACUAAUUAAACUUGAAUGCAACAUUUUCAUUUGGUUUUUGUAUCCAUAGAAUUGAUUUAAAUGGAGCUAAAUGAAAUGAAAAUCCAAUUCUCAUUUAAAGAGACAAAACCAUUUUGUUCUCAACCUAAUUUGGGCCAAAAUGCAAUAACCUCAACAUUUGGGCUAUGUUGCAAAACUUAAACUUUUGAGCUCACUUUGUAAAAACAUAAAAGUUCACUACUUCAUGUAAUUACAACUAGAACCCAAAAAUUUCAACAAUUUCAAAAACUUCAUUAAGGAACAAAACAAUUUGUCCUUUAAUGAUUUUGGGCCUUUACGUAAAUACGUAAACUUUUGGGUCAAAGUGCAAAAACACAAAAGUAUCAAAACUUUAUGUAAUUGCAUAAAAGCCCCAAAAUUACCCCUAUUUUAAUAGGGUGGCCGGUUUUAGGAGAGAGGGAGGGAAAAAAUUGAAGCCACAAAAUUUGGAAAAUUCUUCAACUAAGUCAUAAAGCCUUGCAAGUGGUUUAUGACAUAAAUUCAUGCAAGUGAUGUGUGUGUAAGAGAAGAACUUCUUACACACCCAUCACCAUUUCUAGCACCUUACACAAUUUCAAUCACAUUAAAACAUUUGAUAAAGCACAAAACAAAGACUUUAUGAAAUAAAUCAAAACUUUGAAUCAAAACACCAAACUUUUUGUUCUUGGCUAAAAUGUUAAGAACAAUGAAGAACAUUCAUGAAAAACCCAUAAGAGCUCCAUGAACAUUUUUCAUCCAAAGAAAUCCCAAAACCACUCAAACUUAAGGGAAAUAACAUAUAACCAUACUAGGGUACAUAGGGGUUCCAAAAGUCACCUUAAAACACUUUUAACAAGUCAAACAAGAACCCAAAAAUCCACCCUUUGGAUUUGGCCGAAUUUCCCCAAAGACAUGGCACCAAAUUUUAGCUCCAAUAUUCAUGCUCAUAUGAACUACAUCUACAACAUUUGAGAUGGCAAAUUUUCCAACAAAAUUUACAUUCAAAGAAACAAGAAUAAAGCUUGUAACAUAUUACAACAUUUAAAUCAAAACUAUGAACUACAAAACCCAAAAGGAUUCACCAACUACUAGACCUAGGAUCUGAUACCACUUGAAGGAAAUAUUGUGAAAAACAUGUUCAUUUGAGCAACAUCUAUAGCAUGCAAUUAAGAAUUAAAAGGCGGAAUCAUGCUUGCAUGCACUCAAAAAACAAAACAUUAACCAUGAAAUUCAAAGCCUAGUAGAUUGGUGAACCAAGACUCAACUCAAAACAAAGUGAGUUGAGAAAUUUAUACCUUUGUUGAUUCCUCUUUGCAUAAGCAAAGGAUAAUCACCCAAGAGAUAGGGCCUUCAUUCCUUGCUUCUUAGAUCCAUGGAUUUGGAUGGAAGAAUAGGUUUCUCCAAGUUCCCAAAAUUGAGAACCUCUAAGUCUCUUCACCAAGGUUAGAUUGGAGAAGAAAUAAGUGACCUUGGAGUAGUAGGAUUGCUAGCUAAUCCCUCCAAGGGGGCCGGCCUCUUUAGAGAGAAAUGAGAUCUUUGUGUUCUCUCCAAUUUCCUAAAAGAAACCAUAAAUGAAUUUUGGCUAUAAAGUCAUAUUUAUACCUUAAUUCAUUGGAGUGGCAAACUUGUAAAUAAGUCCAAAACCCACUCCUUUAUUACCAACCAGGAGAUCAAAAGUACGCCUAGUACUCCAAAAUUAUUUGGCAACCUGCCGCUAUUAUCACCCACUAGGUGAUCAAAAGUACGUCCAAUACUCCAAAAUUAUACAUGAGCAUCACUCAUGUCAAUCAGCUUCGAAAGCUUCAUUUACAAAGCUCCAGCUUCAAAAGCUUCACUUGUAAAACUUCACCUACAAAGCUUCAGUGCAGGGUAUACAAAUACCGCCUCCGAACAACUGCCAUUUCGGCCCAUACAUGGAUUCAAUUUAAAGUCUCCAGCCAACAGACUCUAUUGACUGAAGACUUGGGGGACUACACUAUGUACCAUAUAUUGGUCUUCCAUAACUAGGCCUCAUGAUAAAUACUUGGGGGACUUAACCCAUUAUUUAUGUAUUGAGGAGUAAGCCCUUAUUCUAUAAAAGGUACUCUCUCACUUCAUUAGAGAGCACCCAUUAUUCAUGUACUGAAGAGCGAGCCCUUAUUUUAUAAAAGGGACUCCCUCACCUUCAUUAGAAAGCAUCGCCGCCAGUUGAGCAACCGCCUCGCCGCGAGCAUCACUCCUAACCCAUCACUUAUGUAUUGAGGAGCGAGCCUUUAUUCUAUAAAAGGGACUCUCUCACCAUCAUUAGAGAGCAUCGCCGCCUGCUGAGCAACCGCCUCGCUGCGAGCAUCAACGAUAGCCCAUCAUUUUUGUAUUGAGGAGCGAGCCCUUAUUCUAUAAAAGGGACUUUCUCACCUUCAACGCCACAAGCCGAGCCAACCAAGGCAACAUAAGCCACAAGCAGAGCAGCCUCGCAACAUGUGCUACUUCUGGUUGAGCAUCAUUUUAGAUUAGGCAUCGCCUCAUAUCGAGUAUCAGUGCUAGAUGACAUCUAGUUACUUCGGCCCACACAUGGACUGAAUUUCAAGUCUCCAACCAAAAGACUCUCUUGACUGAAGACUUGGAUGACUACUGUUUAUACCAUACUUAGGGCCUCCAUAUUUAGACCUCGUAUAAAUACUCGGGGGACUCAAGUGUAAUUAUGUAAUAAAUGAAGCGGCAAAUAUGUAAUAAGUGAGGAGCUCUUAGUCUAUAAAAGGGACUCCUCACCCUCACAAUCCUCAAGCCUCACUCUCAUAUUACAAAGCUCUCAUCCUCUCACAAUCAGAGAAAUACAAUAUCAGUGUGGACGUAGCCCGAACAUUGGGGUGAACCACGAUACAUCUUUGUGUUCUUGGGCGUUUGCAUGAUUCACGAUCUGAUUUACGUUGUUCCAAGACCUUCCGGUUUUGUGCAUCAACAAGCUUUAUCAAAGGAGUUCAACCACAAUUGUCAAAAGCUUCACACACGCUUGAUCAAGACAGUGUGAGGCAAAACCAAUUUAUGGUGCCAAUAAGAGCUUCAUCAAUGGAGGGCAACCACAAUUCUCAAAAACUUCACACACUCUUGAU
rnacentral:lncRNA from 1 species